rnacentral:tRNA from 1 species
GUGGGACUGUAGCUCAGUGGCACAGCGCUGGCAUCACACGUGGGAGGCACUGGGUUCGAUCCUCAGCACCACA